GAUGAACGCUAGCGGCAGGCUUAAUACAUGCAAGUCAAGGGGGUAGCAAUACAACCGGCGCACGGGUGAGUAACGCGUACACAACAUACCAUAUACUGGAGUAUAGCUUUGGGAAACUGAAGGUAAUCCUCCAUAACAUUGCGAGAGGGCAUCUGAUUGCAAUUAAAGUUUCGGCGGUAUAUGAUUGGUGUGCGUUUGAUUAGCUAGUUGGUAGGGUAACGGCUACCAAGGCGACGAUCAAUAGCUGGCGUGAGAGCGCGACCAGCCACACUGGAACUGAGACACGGUCCAGACUCCUACGGGAGGCAGCAGUAGGGAAUAUUGGACAAUGGAGGAAACUCUGAUCCAGCCAUGCCGCGUGAUAGAUGAAGGCCCUCUGGGUUGUAAAUAUCUUUUUAUCUUGGGAAGAAACACUCCUAUUCUUAGGAACUUGACGGUACCAGAGGAAUAAGCACCGGCUAACUCCGUGCCAGCAGCCGCGGUAAAGU
rnacentral:rRNA from 1 species